AGUGAACGCUGGCGGUAGGCCUAACACAUGCAAGUCGAACGGAAGCACCGUCAGAGCUUGCUCUUACGCGUGGACAGUGGCGGACGGGUGAGGAAUACAUCGGAAUUUACUUUUUCGUGAGGGAUAACGUAGGGUAACUUACGCUAAUACAGCAUACGACCUACGGGUGAACGCAGGGGAUCUUCGGACCUUGCGCGAUUGAAUGAGCCGAUGUCGGAUUAGCUUGUUGGCGGGGUAAAGGCACACCAAGGCGACGAUCCGUAGGUGGUCUGAGAGGAUGAGCAGCGACACUGGAACUGAGACACGGUCCAGGCUCCUACGGGAAGCAGCAGUGGGGAAUAGUGGACAAGGGGCGCAAGCCUGAUCCAGCCAUACCGCGUGGGUGAAGAAGGCCUUCGGGUUGGAAAGCUCUUUUGUUGGGAAAGAAAAGCAGCAGGUUAAUACCCCGCUGUUCUGACGGUACCGAAAGAAGAAGCACCGGCUAACUUCGUG
rnacentral:rRNA from 1 species